UCUAAAGCAAGCUGGUUAUUUUUAGGUCUUGCACCCUCAGGGUUUGACUGGCUGAUUCAGUGUUCCCUAAACUAUUAGAAUAUCACUAUCUCAUAUCAAGUUUUAAGAUGACUGGUUGCAAAUAACACUGAAAAUAACCUGCUGGCUUUGAUCAGGAGAUGGACACGUAAGGGGGAGAAUGUUUUCCCUUGUGCCAGAUCAAAACGGGUUCAGGAUUCUCAAACGACACAUUUAAGGAAAAAGUAACCAAUUUAUUCAUUCAACUUAAGUACCUUUCUUUUUUUUUCUUUUUUUCUUUCUUCUCUAAAAUAAGGCAUAGCAGUGAGAGUGGGGCCACGAGAAAAUCGAGGUGGGGGCUACAUGAUGCCUGCGCUGGUGGCAUUCACGGUCUAACAGGGACAGGGACAAGCCCCCGGCAAUGAAAACACGUCACAGUCAGCAAUUCCCGGGGCAACCCUGUCUCCCGACCACCCCCACACAAAACCCCUCCACAGCCUCUUUGAGACGCGUCACACAGACGCGUGUGGGCGUGUCAGCGGGACCCGAAGGCCUGCGCCUGGGCCUGGGAUGACCCUGCCCACGUGCCUGAUGGAGCCGGCUGUCGACUCUGCUGCUGGGGAGGAGAAGUCUGAGUAAUGGUGGCCCGGCGCCUCUCUCGCUGGGUGGGGUCACUCCUCUGGCCUAGAGCAGAAGCGCUGUAGAUUAAAUCAUCACCUUGCACCCCACCCUGAAGCAAGCAGAGCUAUUCCAGCGGCAGCUUUGAGUUGAAAUCGCUGGCUGUGCCUUUUCCCCUGGGCCUGGCCAUUGUCUGCCUGGAUGGGCUCCCCUUGACAUUCAGGCAGCCUGGAGCCUGGACGUCUGGAGAAUCUCUUAUGUUCUUAACUAGGCGUUCUUGACCGAAGUCUCCACUUAAUCUCCUAAGAAGAGAAUGAUGUUCCCCUGCCACGUGAUGGGAAAGUGAGCCUUUCUCUAUGAAGAGAAGAGGAAAUCUGAUUGGCAAGUCAUCUCUAGUCUCAGAGUUGGAGCUUACUGCUCAUCCACGGCGAGAGGAGCCUUGGAGAAGACUCCCCACCAGCACCGGCCCCAGCCUGGCGCAUCUCAGGAAGAGCCCCUUGCCUGGCUGUUCUCUGCCUCGUGCAAGUUCAGCUGAACCUCAUCUGGAUUCCACGCUGCCGCGGUUCCUCAAUGCCUACAGGACAUGUCAGCUCGGAGGUCAAAAGCUUUUAUUCCUACCAAGACUCUAA
rnacentral:lncRNA from 1 species